rnacentral:rRNA from 1 species
CUACGGGUUGCUGCAGUGAGGAAUUUUGCGCAAUGGGCGAAAGCCUGACGCAGCAACGCCACGUGAGUGAUGAAGGCCUUCGGGUCGUAAAGCUCUGUCAAGUGGGAAGAACCUAUGUAAUGUUAAUAUCAUUAUAUACUGACGGUACCACUGAAGGAAGCACCGGCUAACUCCGUGCCAGCAGCCGCGGUAAUACGGGGGGUGCAAGCGUUAUUCGGAAUCAUUGGGCGUAAAGGGCACGUAGGCGGCCUGGUAAGUCAGAUGUGAAAGCCCGGGGCUUAACCCCGGAAGUGCAUUUGAUACUGUCAGGCUUGAGUAUGGGAGAGGGAAGUGGAAUUCCUGGUGUAGGGGUGAAAUUCGUAGAUAUCAGGAGGAACACCGGUGGCGAAGGCGACUUCCUGGACCAAUACUGACGCUGAGGUGCGAAGGCGUGGGUAGCAAACAGGAUUAGAUACCCUGGUAGUC